rnacentral:rRNA from 1 species
AUACGUAGGGGGCAAGCGUUAUCCGGAUUUACUGGGUGUAAAGGGAGCGUAGACGGCAUGGCAAGUCUGAAGUGAAAGCCCGAGGCUCAACCACGGGACUGCUUUGGAAACUGUUAAGCUAGAGUGCAGGAGAGGUAAGUGGAAUUCCUAGUGUAGCGGUGAAAUGCGUAGAUAUUAGGAGGAACACCGGUGGCGAAGGCGGCUUACUGGACUGUAACUGACGGUGAGGCGCGAAAGCGUGGGGAGCAAACAGGAUUAGAUUCCCUGGUAGUCCACGCUGUAAACGAAGAUUACUAGGUGUUGGGGACCUAUUGGUCUUCGGUGCCGCAGCAAACGCAUUAAGUAAUCCUCCUGGGGAGUACGUUCGCAAGAAUGAAACUCAAAUGAAUUGACGGGG